rnacentral:rRNA from 1 species
GGUCCUGCGAAAGAAGGUGCGGGAUCUGGCCUGCCCAAUGAUUUAUUUAAUGGCCGCGGUAAUUUGACCGUGCAAAGGUAGCAUAAUCAUUAGUCCUUUAAUUGGGGUCUGGAAUGAAGGGUUGGACGAGGGAGGGUCUGUCUAGUGGGUAAUCUUAUUUUGAAUUUUACUUUUUAGUGAAAAGGCUGCGAUUUUCUUGGGGGACGAUAAGACCCUAUAGAUCUUUACAUCGGGGGCCAAUGGAAGAGUUGGUUUGGGGUGUUUUGUUGGGGUGACAGGAAGAUAUAAAUAACUCUUUUGUGAUAAGUAUUACUUAUCGGUAUGUUGUUGAUCCUGGCGUUUGGAUUAUUAGAUUAAGUUACCUUAGGGAUAACAGCGUAAUCUCUCUUGAGAGUUCUAAUUGACAGGGGGGUUUGCGACCUCGAUGUUGGAUUAAGAGAUCUUUGUGGUGUAGAAGCUACGAGGGAGGGUC